GGGCCCGCACAAGCGGUGGAGCAUGUGGUUUAAUUCGAUGAUACGCGAGGAACCUUACCAGGGCUUAAAUGUAGAGUGACAGGUCUAGAGAUAGACUUUUCUUCGGACACUUUACAAGGUGCUGCAUGGUUGUCGUCAGCUCGUGCCGUGAGGUGUCAGGUUAAGUCCUAUAACGAGCGCAACCCCUGUCGUUAGUUGCCAGCAUUUUGGAUGGGAACUCUAACGAGACUGCCGGUGCAAAACCGCGAGGAAGGUGGGGAUGACGUCAAAUCAUCACGGCCCUUACGUCCUGGGGCUACACACGUGCUACAAUGGCCAGUACAGUGAGCAGCCACUACGCGAGUAGGAGCG
rnacentral:rRNA from 1 species